CGCCCAAUUACUUCGGGCGUUAAGUACAUGCUCGCCUCUUUAUAAACCGAAAGUUUCCACUUCGCGAGUAAACAGUGAACUCGAAAAUUUCGACGUCGUCUUAGAAAUCAAUCUAUACAGUGGUUUUACAUACAAACUGAGUCUUGACUUAAGAUGGAGGAGCAACCUGCAGACAGGAUGCUUAAAGUGAAAUACGAUCCAGUUCAUGGUGCGGAUUACGAAUAUCUGUUCGAAUAUCGAUACACCCCCGACUAUCGAAAGUUACACCCCAUCGAAUUCUAUUUUAAUUGGCCUUGGAAAUACAGAUACUGGUUUCAAAACCAACCGUAUAGAAGGCAAUUGUACAAAAUUCUCCGCCUUAGGGAGCUGACUUACUUGAGAUGAGGAAGGAAAGUUACAAAAUUUCGGUGUUAAAUAUGCGAAUAUAUUUCUUUUUUUAGUUUGCGUAUUUUUAUUAACUAUUUUCCAAGGAACCACAUUUACAAUUACAUUGUUGAUGUUGAGCGGUACAAAUUUACACUACAUAAUUUAUUUAUGAUUUAAAAACAAGAUAAUUCAGGCUCAGCUCGAGAUGUUGGAGUUUUGAAGAUUGGAAAAUUAUCCAUUUUCUACGUGGAGGCCUUGGUGGUGAUAGAUAGCACUUGAUCCAUAAUUCUCUGUCUAACAUUUUAUUCCAUAUUUCAAUUUUAUUAUUUAUAAAUCUUUCCUGAAUUAGUGGCCCAAACUAUAAAAGUAUAUUCUACGUUCUACGAAAAUAGUUUUUUAUUAAUAUUUCCGAAACAGGUUUAGAGAAGGUUUUGAAAAUGUAGCGUUUUAGUCACUUUGCCAUGCUGAAUCUGAUUUUAAAAUUACAAAUAUUUUAAUGGGGGUCUUAAAUUUUGAGGGACACAACAAAAACUGCAAUAACUUUUUCGUGGGUUACCUGUUAGACUUUUUUCUUAUAAAAUGAGCCGUUUUCGAGGAAAAUGGAUUUAAAAAAUAUGGUGUUUAAUAUGCCCAUUCGAUUUAUCAAAAAUUAAAAAAAACAUUUUGAUGGAUGAGAAUCCACUGGCGAACUUCUAAAUGAUUUGGAAAGCCUUCGGGUCCAAAAUUGGAUAAUGGUAAUGAAGUAUUCCUUGCAUUCUCAUCAUUAUAUCAAGCCAAAAAUUCAUUUUUUUACUCCUUUCCGGACGCUAGAUUAGUGUACAAAUAGGUAUUUUACAACCUAUUUGUACACUGAUCUAGCGUCCGGAAAGUGUCACUUUACCACGUCAGUUUCGUGUCCCACGGAUUCGAGCCCCUUCGGACAUUUCCGGGAUUUUACCGCACGGAUUUGGGAGCAAUCGGAUGUUUUCGCAGAUUUUUCCGCACGGCUUGAAUUUUGACGUUUGUAAAUUCUGACGAUUAUGUCAGUGAAAAUAUUGUGUUGUUUGGCAAAAAUGUACCCAAAAAUUAACGGCAGUAGAAAGAGUAUAGUAUGCGAUACGUUUGAGUAAUUCGUUUAUUAAACAGUAGCUCCGCUGCGCUCCGCUCGUGCCAAAUUCAUGACUUAAAUGCCAUUUACCGAACUUGUUGCAUAAUAUACUAUUACCUGCGUCAUAGAAUUGGAAAAUAACGUGGAAACUUUUUCGUUUUCGUUUCGAUUGGUAAUUUAUAUAAACACGUCCAUGUGUCCUGGGGUUCUAAGGUUAUUUAAAGAUAUUUAAGGAUUAAAUAAAAAAUUGCUAAUAAUUUCAGUAGAUUUUCAUUGAAUGUAUAAACAAUAUUUAUUUAUUUUUAAAAAUUUAAGGUUUUGGAUUUAUAGAAAAUCCUGGAACCUUCACCAACCUCCUUGAAAAUAUUUUCGAAAGUCAAAACAGAAUUCGUUCAACUCUUAAGAAAAAUUGAGUUAAAUAAACCCUACAUUUUUGAAAACAGGAAAAAAGAUAUUUUUUCUCUGAAUUAAUAUAGAUUGUGGUAUGAAGAAAUAUUUUUUUUUAAUGUUUUUUUCUUUUUGUUCCUAUCGAUUUGAAAAAAUUAAGAAAGAACUACAAAACUCUUAUAUAUGAAAACUUUUGUAUCUCUUGAAAUAAGAAAGUUAAUAGGAAAUGACGGUUAUAAGGGAACACACAGUACAUAUGUUAGAAAAUACUUUUCGAUAUGGUAGUCUGUAUGGAAAUAUUCCUUCGUGCUCCCGCACAGCGACACGCGUAUUACCAUUGCAAUAACAGUAAUUAAAAUUAAAGACACUGUAAAUGAGAAACAUUUUAAUUUUUAAUGAAUAAAUAUGAUGGUAACUCUAUUUCGCAUUAUAAAAGUCCUUUCUGCAACAGCACUGUCUGCCCAUACUACUAUUCUAUAAAACAGUGUUGAGUGCACCACGAAGAGAAUGUGAGUGUCAUCGAGUGAUUAAUUUCGAAGAAUUAAUCAGAAAUGAAAUGUUUGCGGUGGUGUCCUCUGCGAGUUUAUAAUUGACGAAAAUAGUCUCGCCUGGCUUUUGUCCAACGAAGCUUUUCGUUUACUUUUGCAAAAAUUUCGACUACAUUUAUUCACAACGAUCGUAGAGUGCGGUGGUGCGACAACAGUGCCUAAUAAAAUAGGCUAGUGAGUAUUUUUGGGAGUAGGCGUCGGAAAACACUCGUUACAUUGACGCUUGCAGAGAUGUCAUUGAGGGCGCGUUACAAUCCCGUAUAUGGACGCGAGUUAUACUUGGGAGACACCAGAUACGUUCCCGAUUAUCGGCUUCACAGAUCGUACGAAUUUUACGAUUUUUGGCCGAUGAAACUUAAGAUUAGAUUGUGGAAUAGACCGUUCAGACGCUGGCUGACGUCUCCAUCGUUAUUCAGGCAACAGCUUUAUUCCAACAAGAGUGAUCUGAUACUCGAAUCGGCAACUUCGCGAUUGUCCCGUUCCAUCGUUAGAUAUUAGCAUUGCAUUUAUUUUAUUGUAUUCGUAAACAUUAUAUUUGAUUUAAGUUACUGGGUGUUUUUAAUCGGCACGCCCCUGUUGUCAAUUUGGCAAAAUUAGCUGUAUUAAAAUCAAACUUGUCACGUAAAUAGUGAAAUUAUGUUAUUUGUAAUUAACAUCUGUGUGUUAAUGGUAAAAAAUGAAAACAAAAAAAAAACAAAAAAACAGAAUAAUCAAAAAUAAACGAAUAGCUAAAUGAAAAA